rnacentral:misc_RNA from 1 species
GAUGAAGAACGUAGCGAAAUGCGAUAAGUAAUGUGAAUUGCAGAAUUCAGUGAAUCAUCGAAUCUUUGAACGCACAUUGCGCCCGCCAGUAUUCUGGCGGGCAUGCCUGUUCGAGCGUCAUUACAACCCUCAGGCCCCCGGGCCUGGCGUUGGGGAUCGGCGGAGCCCCCCGUGGGCACACGCCGUCCCCCAAAUGCAGUGGCGGUCCCGCCGCAGCUCCCAUCGCGUAGUAGCUAACACCUCGCGACUGGAGAGCGGCGCGGCCACGCCGUAAAACACCCAACUCUUCUGAAGUUGACCUCGAAUCAGGUAGGAAUACCCGCUGAACUUAAGCAUAUCAAUAAGCGAGGA